UCUACGUGAAAUAAAUCCUAAGCAUGUACAAGUAACUACUUCUUUUAUGGCAACAAAAGAAUUAAAUAUUUAUCUAUCAUCCAAAGUUUAAGUUAUAUUAUAAAAUGUCUGAUAAUAUUUACAAAUAAACGCUAAGAGAUUGUUUAAUAGCUUAUUAACCCAUCCUUAAUUGUAAGUUACCCGACUGACAAUAAGCAUCCCUUUGGAUUUAUAAACUAAAAAAGGUUUACAUCCAUGUUUCUCUCACAGUGGGCAAUUCGAAAAUAGACUCGAAUAUAAAGUAUUAUCCUAACAAGAUCUCGUCGACUUGCAAACGAUAAGUCCAUUAAAAUUUCAAUUAAUAUAGAAGGAGUCAUGACAUGAUUUUGUGAGAAAAUGGAAGCAAUAUAUCCAGAUUCAACUAUCCACCGUCGCUUCGUCCGCUUUUGGGGAGUCUGUCGGUGGUAAGCGGAGCGUCGAGAAGUAUAGGGCGGGAGAUCCCACAAUUGGACAAUAAAUAAGCAAAUACUGUUGACGCUGUAUCACUAAUUGCCUACAGACGAUAAUGCCAAAAUUACUCACCGUGUUCAACCAAACUACAGGCUUUUGUUGAGUCACUUCUUCUCUGCAACAAAUUAAAGUAAUACCAUAUGAAACAAAGCAAUAAAAAGGAUUUUAACUUUAUCAUUUGCAAACAAACUUAUAUAACUAUUGUGAAUAUUCAUUACACGUACAACGUACGUACCUAUAUAUCUUCAGAAACAAUAAAUUAUUAUUUGUAAUAGAAAACAAAGAUUGUGAGGUAUAAUUUUUAUUGAUUAAUACAAACUCUCAAAGUUUUACACAAUUAAAA